rnacentral:rRNA from 1 species
GUUGAACGCUGGCGGCAUGCCUUACACAUGCAAGUCGAACGGUAACGCGGGGCAACCUGGCGACGAGUGGCGAACGGGUGAGUAAUGCAUCGGAACGUGCCCAGUAGUGGGGGAUAGCCCGGCGAAAGCCGGAUUAAUACCGCAUACGACCUACGGGUGAAAGCGGGGGACCGUAAGGCCUCGCGCUAUUGGAGCGGCCGAUGUCAGAUUAGGUAGUUGGUGGGGUAAAGGCCUACCAAGCCUUCGAUCUGUAGCUGGUCUGAGAGGACGACCAGCCACACUGGGACUGAGACACGGCCCAGACUCCUACGGGAGGCAGCAGUGGGGAAUUUUGGACAAUGGGCGCAAGCCUGAUCCAGCCAUGCCGCGUGCGGGAAGAAGGCCUCGG